AACGCACAACUUAAGAACUUGCGAAAUCUACACAUUCUUGGCUCUUCUUAGCUGCGUUUUGCAGUUCAGAUUCUGCCAAGUUUUGUGUUCAUGGUUACGCGAGUGUCAUAUUUGUGCUAUAUAAAAAAUCGUCUCACAGUAAAUUAUAAUAGUUAGAGUAUCUAAAGUCGCGCUAAGGCCCCGAUAUUCUAUUUUUCCUGGUGUGAACGAUGACAUUU
ensembl:snoRNA C06A1.8 ncRNA